rnacentral:ncRNA from 1 species
AACGACCACAAGGGGUGCCGAUGAUGUCGGCUGAGAUUGGGCACGUAAUGCCUUUACUCUUUGAACCUGUAAGUUAACACUUGCGUAGGGAUUGUGGAUAGAAACCGAC